rnacentral:rRNA from 1 species
UGCAGUCGAACGAUGACGACCGAGCUUGCUCGGUCUGAUUAGUGGCGAACGGGUGAGUAACACGUGAGCAACCUGCCCUUCACUCUGGGAUAACCUCGGGAAAUCGGGGCUAAUACCGGAUAUGAGCUCCUGUCGCAUGGCGGGUGUUGGAAAGUUUUUCGGUGAAGGAUGGGCUCGCGGCCUAUCAGUUUGUUGGUGAGGUAGUGGCUCACCAAGGCGAUGACGGGUAGCCGGCCUGAGAGGGCGACCGGCCACACUGGGACUGAGACACGGCCCAGACUCCUACGGGAGGCAGCAGUGGGGAAUAUUGCACAAUGGGCGAAAGCCUGAUGCAGCGACGCCGCGUGAGGGAUGACGGCCUUCGGGUUGUAAACCUCUUUCAGCAGGGAAGAAGCGAAAGUGACGGUACCUGCAGAAGAAGCGCCGGCUAACUACGUGCCAGCAGCCGCGGUAAUACGUAGGGCGCAAGCGUUGUCCGGAAUUAUUGGGCGUAAAGAGCUUGUAGGUGGCUUGUCGCGUCUGCCGUGAAAACCCGAGGCUCAACCUCGGGCGUGCGGUGGGUACGGGCAGGCUAGAGUGUGGUAGGGGAGACUGGAACUCCUGGUGUAGCGGUGAAAUGCGCAGAUAUCAGGAAGAACACCGAUGGCGAAGGCAGGUCUCUGGGCCAUUACUGACACUGAGAAGCGAAAGCAUGGGGAGCGAACAGGAUUAGAUACCCUGGUAGUCCAUGCCGUAAACGUUGGGCACUAGAUGUGGGGAACAUUCCACGUUUUCCGCGUCGUAGCUAACGCAUUAAGUGCCCCGCCUGGGGAGUACGGCCGC